GACGGGGCCCGCACAAGCGGUGGAGUAUGUGGUUUAAUUCGAUGCAACGCGAAGAACCUUACCUAGACUUGACAUCUCCUGAAUUACCCGUAACUGGGGAAGCUCUUCGGAGCAGGAAGACAGGUGGUGCAUGGUUGUCGUCAGCUCGUGUCGUGAGAUGUUGGGUUAAGUCCCGCAACGAGCGCAACCCUUAUCGUUAGUUGCUACCAUUAAGUUGAGCACUCUAGCGAGACUGCCCGGGUUAACCGGGAGGAAGGUGGGGAUGACGUCAAAUCAUCAUGCCCCUUAUGUCUAGGGCUACACACGUGCUACAAUGGUGAGGACAAAGAGACGCAAGACCGCGAGGUGGAGCAAAUCUCACAAACCUCAUCCCAGUUCGGAUUGCAGGCUGAAACUCGCCUGCAUGAAGCCGGAGUUGCUAGUAAUCGCGAAUCAGCAUGUCGCGGUGAAUACGUUCCCGGGCCUU
rnacentral:rRNA from 1 species